CCUACGGGGUGCAGCAGUGGGGAAUAUUGCACAAUGGGGGGAACCCUGAUGCAGCGACGCCGCGUGAGUGAAGAAGUAUUUCGGUAUGUAAAGCUCUGUCAGCAGGGAAGAAGAAAGACGGUACCUGACCAAGAAGCCCCGGCUAACUACGUGCCAGCAGCAGCGGUAAUACGUAGGGGGCAAGCGUUAUCCGGCUUUACUGGGUGUAAAGGGGGCGUAGACGGCAGGGCAAGUCUGUUGUGAAAGGCAGGGGCCCAACCCCUGGACUGCUCUGGAAAAUGUCCGGCUGGAGUGCAGGAGAGGUAAGUGGAAGUCCUAGGGUAGCGGUGAAAUGCGGAGAUAUUAGGAGGAACACCAGUGGCGAAGGCAGCAUACCGGCGCUCAACUGACGCUCAUGCACGAAAGUGUGGGUAUCGAACAGGAUUAGAUACCCGAGUAGUA
rnacentral:rRNA from 1 species